UUUUUUGCAAUCUUCAGAAAAUUCCACCGGCUACGUCUUUCACUUGUUUAAGCUCAAAUUUCUAUGUUUACUUCUUUAGUUCUCAUAAGUAAAAGAAAAAUAUCAAAAAAAAAGAAUUGUAGGGUUUCAGAUCGUGUUGUUCGAAAGCCGGAAAGAUUUGUGUCUCGUUUCCACCAAAUCGAGAGUUACUAGAACCUUUUGGACGAUCAGGUCACCCUUAUUCUCAUCAAGUGGUAAUCCAAGCUUCUGGUAUACCGUUAGGUUCACAUCUAUCAUUAGUUUUGAGUGUUCUUGUGUUCAUCCCAUAAGUGUAGCCUUUGCAUAUUUUAGUUUCAGAGUCCGUAGUGUUGAGUUUGUGUCCUGGUCGAGGUCUUGUUGCUGGUUAGGUCUUCUUAGAGUCCAGUUCGUGUGUUUUUCCCCACCGUUUCCAUCAAUUUCUAGCCACCGCCGCAAAUUUUUUUCCACUUCCAGACCGUUUUGUCCUCUAAUUCAGAGUCCGUUCGUAAAACAGCCAUAACUUUCGCAUACAAACAACGAUUUCGACCUUUAGUUUCUAGUGUUCUUAUGUUUGUCUAAUAAGUCCAGCCUUUGCAUAUUUCAGUUUCAGAGUCUAUAGUGUUGAGUUUGUGUCCUAGUCGAGGUUUUGAUGCUGGUUAGGUUUCGUUAGAGUCCAAUUCGUGUGUUUUCCCCACCAUUUCCAUCAAUUUCUAGCCACUGCUGCAAAUUUUUCCUACUUCAGGACCGUUUUGUUCUCUAAUUCGGAGUCCGUUCGUAACAACCAUACCUUUCGCAUACGAACAACGAUUUUGACGUUCCAUACAUCAAAAUCGAUCAGAAAAAAAUUUUGAAUCUAUCUGUCCCCACUAUAGGUGGGUUCGACAAUUUUAGAAACCCCAAAUUCGUCUAUGAAUUUUGAGUUUACACCUCCUAAAGUUUUUUCACAUUUUUGGCAAUCUUCAUAAAAUUCCACAGGCCAUGUCUUUCACUUGUUUAAGCUCAAAUUUUCUGUGGUUACUUCUGUAGUGCUCCUAAGUAAAAGCAAAAUAUAAAAAAAAUAAAAAGAAUUGCAGGGCUUUGGAUCCUGUUGUUCGAAAGCCAGAUCGAUUUGUGUCUCGUUUUCACCAAAUCGAGAGUUACAAGAACCUUUCGGAAGAUCAGGCCCCCCUUGUUCUUAUCAAGUGGUAAUGAAAGCUUCAGGUAUACCAUUAGGUUCACAUCUAUCCUUAGUUUUGAGUGUUCUUGUGUUUGUCCCAUUAGUCUAGCCUUUGCAUAUUUCAGUUUCAGAGUCCGUAGUGUUGAGUUUUUGUACUGGUUGAGGUCUUGUUGCUAGUUAGGUCUUGUUAGAGUCCAGUUCGUGUGUUUUUCCCCACCGUUUCCAUCAAUUUCUAGCCACCACCGCAAAUUUUUCCGACUUCCGGACUGUUUUGUCCUCUAAUUCAGAGUCCGUUCGUGAAACAGACAUAACUUUCGCAUACGAACAACGAUUUCGACUUUCCAUAUAUCAAAAUUGAUCAGAAAAAAAGUUCAGUUCUGUCUAUCCCCACUGUAGGCAGGUUCAACAAUUUUAGAAUUCCCAAAUUUGCCUCUGAAAGUUUGAGUUUUCACCUCCUAAAGUUUUUCACACAUUUUUUGCAAUGUUUAGAAAAUUCCACAAGCCACGUCUUUCACUUGUUUAAGCUGAAAUUUUUUGUGGUUACUUCUGUAGUGCUCCUAAGUAAAAAAAUAUCAAAAAAAUAAAAAGAAUUGCAGUGUUUUAGAUCAUGUUGUUCAGAAGCCGUAUCGAUUUGUGUCUCGUUUCCACCAAAUCGAGAGUUAGCAGAACCUUUCAGAAGACCGGGCCACCCUUGUUCUCAUCAAGUGGUAAUUAAUGCUUUAGGUAUACCGUUAGGUUCACAUCUACCCUUAGUUUCGAGUGUUCUUGUGUUCGUCCCAUA
rnacentral:lncRNA from 1 species